UACGUAGGGUGCGAGCGUUAAUCGGAAUUACUGGGCGUAAAGCGUGCGCAGGCGGUUCGUUGUGUCGGUGGUGAAAGCCCCGGGCUUAACCUGGGAAUGGCCAUGGAAACUGGCGAACUGGAGUGUGGCAGAGGGGGGUGGAAUUCCGCGUGUAGCAGUGAAAUGCGUAGAGAUGUGGAGGAACACCGAUGGCGAAGGCAGCCCCCUGGGCUGAGAUUGACGCUCAGGCACGAAAGCGUGGGGAGCAAACAGG
rnacentral:rRNA from 1 species